rnacentral:rRNA from 1 species
AUUGAACGCUGGCGGCAUGCCUUACACAUGCAAGUCGAACGGCAGCGGGGACUUCGGUCCGCCGGCGAGUGGCGAACGGGUGAGUAAAGUAUCGGAACGUACCUUUCAGUGGGGGAUAACGUAGCGAAAGUUACGCUAAUACCGCAUAUUCUGUGAGCAGGAAAGCAGGGGAUCGCAAGACCUUGCGCUGAUUGAGCGGCCGAUAUCAGAUUAGCUAGUUGGUGAGGUAAAGGCUCACCAAGGCGACGAUCUGUAGCGGGUCUGAGAGGAUGAUCCGCCACACUGGAACUGAGACACGGUCCAGACUCCUACGGGAGGCAGCAGUGGGGAAUUUUGGACAAUGGGGGCAACCCUGAUCCAGCCAUGCUGCGUGAGUGAAGAAGGCCUCGGUG